CCCCAAACAAUAGGCCUCGGGUGGAGGCCUCCAGAUCCACCUCAAACAAGAGGCCUCGGGUGGAGGCGUCCCACUCCACCCCAAACCAGAGGCCUCGGGUGAAGGUCUCCUGCUCCACCCCAAACAAGAGGCCUCGGGUGGAGCUGAGGCCCACCGUGUGAGUCUGCGGCGCCUGACAGCCACGGAAAUACGGCGGGUUAUCUGCACUCCACCCAGAGGGAGCCCAACAGACAGACGAGCCAGGGUGAAGGAAAAAGAGGAGGGACACCCCAGCAAGCAAGAGGCUGAAGAUGGGGGCCUCCACUCCACCUCCCUCCACUCCACCUCCCUCCACUUCGCCUCCUUUUCCUCCAUCCACACCACUCCACCUCCCUCCACUCCACCACACUCCUGUGACUCCAUCUCACUUCGCUUUCUCUCUCACUCUCUCUUUUUCUCUUUCCUUGUCUCGCUCUACCAUCUCUCUCUCUUUCUCCCCCUCCCUCUACGUCUGUUCCUCUCUCUCUCUCUCCCUCUAUCUCUCUCCUCUCUCCUUCUGUCUCGCUCUCCCUCUAUCUCUCUCUUCCUCUACCUCUUUGAAUAAUCUGCAGGCACACAGACUCCACAGUGAGGUGAGCUGAGCUGACAAAGAGAGUGAAGCAAGAGAGACGGAGAGGAAGAGAGAGAGAGAGAGAGAUGAAGAAAGAGAGAGAGAGAGAGGAAUCUGAACAGAAGAACAAAGCUAAGAUCAGCCUGUCAGUUGCAGAUGAACAAAGACCCUGGAAUGGAUCGAGUGCAUUGCUCACAUAUGGAAGAGAUUCACUGCCUGCUUUCACAUCCAUAUGUACAAUAACCUUCUGCUUUGAAGUUUCGGAUACCAGACCUGAACAAAAAACACACACACACACACACACAUUUUAACAUGCACACACACACACACACACA
ensembl:lncRNA